CCUACGGGAGGCAGCAGUGGGGAAUAUUGCUCAAUGGGGGAAACCCUGAAGCAGCGACGCCGCGUGAAGGAAGAAGGCUUUCGGAUUGUAAAACUCUUUUUUUAGGGAAGAAAAUGACGGUAUCUGACUAAUAAGCACCGGCUAACUCCGUGCCAGCAGCCGCGGUAAUACGGAGGGUGCAAGCGUUAUUCGGAUUCACUGGGUGUAAAGGGGGCGUAGGCGGUUUAGCAAGUCAGAGGUGAAAUCCCAAGGCUCAACCAUAGAACUGCAUUUGAAACUGUUAAGCUAGAGAUGGGGAGAGGUAGGCGGAAUGGAUGGUGUAGGGGUGAAAUCCGUAGAGAUCAAGAGGAAUACCGAUUGCGAAGGCGGCUUACUAGAAUAUAACUGACGUUGAGGCACGAAAGCGUGGGGAGCAAACAGGAUUAGAUACCCUUGUAGUC
rnacentral:rRNA from 1 species